rnacentral:rRNA from 1 species
GGGUGGGGUGACUGCGUACCUUUUGUAUAAUGGGUCAGCGACUUAUAUUCUGUAGCAAGGUUAACCGUAUAGGGGAGCCGAAGGGAAACCGAGUCUUAACUGGGCGUUAAGUUGCAGGGUAUAGACCCGAAACCCGGUGAUCUAGCCAUGGGCAGGUUGAAGGUUGGGUAACACUAACUGGAGGACCGAACCGACUAAUGUUGAAAAAUUAGCGGAUGACUUGUGGCUGGGGGUGAAAGGCCAAUCAAACCGGGAGAUAGCUGGUUCUCCCCGAAAGCUAUUUAGGUAGCGCCUCGUGAACUCAUCUUCGGGGGUAGAGCACUGUUUCGGCUAGGGGGUCAUCCCGACUUACCAACCCGAUGCAAACUGCGAAUACCGAAGAAUGUUAUCACGGGAGACACACGGCGGGUGCUAACGUCCGUCGUGAAGAGGGAAACAACCCAGACCGCCAGCUAAGGUCCCAAAGUCACAGUUAAGUGGGAAACGAUGUGGGAAGGCUCAGACAGCCAGGAUGUUGGCUUAGAAGCAGCCAUCAUUUAAAGAAAGCGUAAUAGCUCACUGGUCGAGUCGGCCUGCGCGGAAGAUGUAACGGGGCUAAACUGUGCACCGAAGCUGCGGCAGCGACGCUUAUGCGUUGUUGGGUAGGGGAGCGUUCUGUAAGCCUGCGAAGGUGUCCUGUGAGGGAUGCUGGAGGUAUCAGAAGUGCGAAUGCUGACAUAAGUAACGAUAAUGCGGGUGAAAAGCCCGCUCGCCGGAAGACCAAGGGUUCCUGUCCAACGUUAAUCGGGGCAGGGUGAGUCGACCCCUAAGGCGAGGCCGAAAGGCGUAGUCGAUGGGAAACGGGUUAAUAUUCCCGUACUUGGUGUUACUGCGAAGGGGGGACGGAGAAGGCUAUGUUGGCCGGGCGACGGUUGUCCCGGUUUAAGCGUGUAGGCUGGUUUUCCAGGCAAAUCCGGAAAAUCAAG